AUUGCCCCUGUCAGUGUUUCCUCCCUUCUGGGUCAGUUCAUUGUGAGUCUUCUAGUAUUCUCCACUGUUUCUUCUGUGAAUUUUCUUUAAAUGGUGUGAAAUAACGACUCUUCAGUGCUGUGUGGACUCCAUGUGUGGAGGAUGCUGAAUAUCCUACUGUAUGUGCAUUAAGAAGAAAACACAACAUAAGCAGAGGACAGAGUUCUGAGUUGCAAAAAAAGACAGCCUAUUCCCAGAGAGCACCAACCAGGAUUUCAACGAUGAUAUUUCAAGACUGAACAUCUAAAACCUGUUUUCAUCCAGCCUGAGUACAGCUACAAAAUCUUCUUAGAAAAAUACCAACUAUGAUGAUUUCUAGGCGGUGUGAUGGAAAGGAUAAAGUAAACUGUACAUGCACCGAUGCUGAGGAUGCUGACAUAAGUUCUUCAUACCUAAUGGUGGUAGACCACCACCAUGCCGGCCAGGUCCAGCACCAUGCACAGACCCUGGAAGGAGGCCACAGAGAGUCGCAGAGCUCCAUCCUCCUGUACCAGACAGGGCGUGUCGUCUCGGCAGUACGGACAGCCUUCUCGACAUGGCAUACACUUAGUGGACACGUCUGAGGUCUCGUCUCUGUUUGAGCCCAGCUCCUUACCUGAAGAUUGGGAGAAGAGAACCAGAUGAUUAAUGUCUCAUAUACUUUCAAACUCUGUGUGCCUGCAGACUUUAAGUAUUUGCACUCCUCAGGGACAUUAAUAAAGCUUUUUGACGAUUAUAAAUGAUA